CGGCGGACGGGUGAGGAACACAUCGGAAUCUACCCUGUCGUGGGGGACAACGUAGGGAGACUUACGCUAAUACCGCAUACGACCUUUGGGUGAAAGUGGGGGACCGCAAGGCCUCACGCGAUUGGAUGAGCCGAUGUCCGAUUAGCUAGUUGGCGGGGUAAUGGCCCACCAAGGCGACGAUCGGUAGCUGGUCUGAGAGGACGACCAGCCACACUGGAACUGAGACACGGUCCAG
rnacentral:rRNA from 1 species